rnacentral:tRNA from 1 species
GUCGGCGUAGCUCAGUGGUAGAGCAAUCGACUUUUAAUCGAUUGGCCGGGGGUUCGAGUCCCCCCGCCGACA